UCCUGGUUUCCCAGGCAGUCCCGUCAGAGUGCUUUACCUAAAAAGGCAGUCGCAACUGACAGCAAGGGUUGCGCUCGUUAAAGGACUUAACCCAACAUCUCACGACACGAGCUGACGACAGCCAUGCAGCACCUGUGCAAAUGUCUAAACCGAAGCUUAGAAGAUCUCAUCUCUGAGACUGUCAAAUGCAUGUCAAACCCAGGUAAGGUUCCUCGCGUAGUGUCGAAUUAAACCACAUGUUCCACCGCUUGUGCGGACCCCCGUCAAUUCCUUUGAGUUUUAGUCUUGCGACCGUAAUCCCCAGGCGAAUCACUUAACGCGUUAGCUACGACACUAACCCAAAAAAUCAGGCUAACGUCUAGUGAUUAUCGUUUACAGCGUGGACUAC
rnacentral:misc_RNA from 1 species